GAGAGAGGCUUGCAGCAACGAAAACUGCUAAUUUUCGCCGCCUGGGUUGAAUCCCCGGGCUCACUCG
rnacentral:tRNA from 1 species